UCUUCUUGUAGAGGUGCUGCAGAUGUGUCUGCUGUGUCAUAUUUGCAUUAGUAGGUAGAGAGGAGAGAUUAUAUGUCUACACUUGGUGUUAUGACCUGUGAAAAUAGAAGUAUUAGUAGGCUAAGGUG